AACGCGUAGGUUAGUUGCGCUUCGUAAAUCAGUCCCGGAUCGUAUAACCAAAAUAGGCUCUCGAAAAGUAUCUUCUCCGACGACUCUUCCGCUUCAUCUUCUCCGUCUGAUUUUUUGUCCCGUAACCUUCUCAAUCAAUGAUAAUCUUAUAGCAUUCUUCAGUGUUUCUUUCCACCUCCUCUUGAUCCUUCUCCUAUAUAAAGAUCUAUCUCUAAACCUAAAUCCAUCCUAAAUCAUAACCUACUCUAGAGAAACUACAUCCAUACCUCGACCAGGACUAGAUAAGUCAGAGCUUCGGUUUCAGUUAGUCCGUUUCUGGGAUGCAAGAGACAUUGCUAAAGUCUACGCUGGUUCAAGGGUCUGUUCCUGUGGCUUUGAUUAUGCUGAUGAAAUGGUGUUGCUUGGGAACCUGUGCAGCAUAAGAUGCCAGUUGAGUUUGUGAAAUGGUGUUGCUCCAAUUGCACUAUGUAUUAGAUUUUGCUUGCUUUUUCAUGUUUGAAUUUUUUUAUUUCUGAUCUUAUCAUUACCAGUGUCUGCAAUUAUUCGUCUGAGGCAUGGAUAUUUUGCAUCUCUCUUAUUUAAAAGACACUGGUCUCUCACCGAAGUCGAAGAGAAAUGUGGAGGAAAUUCAUCUGCAACUAGCUCAACAGCUGUUGGUUUUGCGGAGAUAAUGUUGCUGCACUCAGAAUGCUUUUGCAAGAGCUCCAGAUGGUGAGCUGCUACUUAAUUGUCUUAGAGACAUAUCUAACUGCGAGUAGUUUGUUUAUUUCCUUACUUUUGCAACAAGUCAUUAACUGGUUUUUUUCUUAAAAUUUUAAGGUCUACAUUUCAGAGCAUGUUAACGUUGUUAAUAUCACAAGCCAGUUUCUCUGCAGGUUUGAGUUUACCUGUAACGUUUCAGGGUUCAGCUUGCAAAACAUGAUUUGUUUGUGUUAUUUUGUCUCUCACUGCUCAUAAUUUUCCUAUUGUUUGCCACCUACUUCACCGCCCACACAUGCUAAUAAGUAUUCAGCACAGGCUACUAGAAUAGCAGGAGUUUUGUUUGCUGAUCUAAUUAAAGAAAUUCUCUCAUGACAAAAUGUUAAUCAGCCAGGAACUUAGAAGCUCAUUAUGUUUAAGCUCAGGUUAGAUUGCAGUUUGGGUGAGCCUGACAUGAACUGCUCCACAAGUUCGACAAAGUACGUAUGGGGGUAUUUAGAAAAUUGAAACUAUCACGGUCUCUGAACUAAAUGUUAUCAUUCUCCCUCACAUUUGCGCAUUCCAUUCCUGGUCUAUUCUGCUAAAUGUUAUCACAAGUAUUAUAUUAUUGACGUUUGUAACCUUGAUGCACUACAGACUGCUGAGUUUCUCUUCACCAGUAAAGGAGAGGCCAUUGAAAUAACCGAUGGGUGGGGCUACAUUUUUUGCUCCAAAUAUUCUAGGAAGCUUCAGCGUGGUUUUUCAUCGUUCACCUGAAACUCAUGCGAUGACGCUAAGGCUAUUUAUUUCAUUUUGGCUUCUCUUGCCUAUUUCUUGAAAAUGGUCGGUAUUUGAUGAAAUAAUAACUUAUGAUUUUUUCCUCUGAAUCUUAUUGAAAAUAACAAACUGAGCUUAACUUCUGCCCCAAUUACAAUUACAUAUACACACAUGUAUUACGUCUA